GACGAACGCUGGCGGCGUGGAUUAGGCAUGCAAGUCGAACGGUAGGAUACCUUCGGGUAUCUGAGAGUGGCGAACGGGUGAGUAACACGUAGGUGAUCUACCCUCAAGAUUGGGACAACCCAGGGAAACUUGGGCUAAUACCGGAUGAAAGCAGCAGUGAUGUUGUUUGAAAGGUGGCGUAAGCUGCCGUUUGGGGAUGAGCCUGCGCUCUAUUAGUUAGUUGGCGGGGUAAAGGCCCACCAAGGCGAUGAUAGAUAGGCGGCCUUAACGGGUGGUCGCCCACACUGGGAUUGAGAUACGGCCCAGACUCCUACGGGAGGCAGCAGUCGAGAAUAGUCUACAAUGGCCGAAAAGGCCGAUAGUGCGACGCCGCGUGAACGAAGAAGCCCUUCGGGGUGUAAAGUUCUUUUAUAUGUGAGCAGUGCUUUCUAUGUGAACAGCAUGGGGAGAGAGAUAUUAGCAUAUGAAUAAGCAACGGCUAACUCCGUGCCAGCAGCCGAC
rnacentral:rRNA from 1 species